AAAGGGCUGCUGAGCUGAGCAUCUGUGAGGCUGUACUACACUGAAGGGCCUGCAUGAGCGACGGUGUGGAGGGAGAAGACCCAUAAGACAGUUACCAGAGGGACCAGCCCAGACAGAGAAGGGGCAGGGGACAGAGCCAUUCAGCUGGAGCCAUACUGAAGAGGAGUUGGAACUUUUUCCAGGGCCAUCAUUUAUGAUCAGUGGAGUCACAUGAUCUCCUUGGAGGCUGGGACACUGCUUAAUCCUUUCUCAUCUCCCCAGAACCUAACCUGAUAUUUGGCACUGUAAUAGAAAGUGCACAACAAAUGUUUAUUGUCCAAACCAGCGGGGAUCUCUGGCUCCGAGGAUGAUCUGGCAGCAGAAGGAGGCUGGUUUGGGUGUGGGGAAGAGGUAGGGUGGGUCAAACAGAGGUGGGGCCAUGAGAAAGGGGCAUUCACUCAGAGAACCACUGUCAGCUGGAGAAAAACAAAAUGAAACCAAACUAUUUUUCCCAGGCCUUGAGGCAGAACUUUCUUUUUCUAGAAGCCAGAUGAAAGAAAGAAGAGACCAGGCAUGGUGGCUUAUGCCUGUAAUCCCAGCACUUUGGGAGGCUGGGGUGGGCAGAUCACAAGGUCAAGAGAUCAAGACCAGCCUGACCAAUAUGGUGAAACCCCAUCUCUACUAACAUUACAAAAAUUAGCCAGGCAUGGUUGCGUGUGCCUGUAAUCCCAGCUACUCGGGAGGCUGAGGCAGGAGAAUUGCUUGAACCCGGGAGGCAGAGGUCGCAGUGAGCCCAGAUCCCGCCACUGCACUCCAGGCUGGGAAACAAAGCAAGCCUCUGGCUCAAAAAAAAAAAAAAAAAAAGUACAGGAAGCAGAGAGGGGGUGAGAGGAAGGGAGAAACAGGGUGGAAGGGGGAGGGGGAGGGAGAGGGGGAGACAGGAAGAGGAGCAAAGAUAGCAAUUCUUAAGGCCUGUUAUCUAUUAGUUACCCUUGCCUUGGCGGCAGACACAGCUGAGUCCUAACGCAGACUUUUCCAUAUCCCCUCUCCCGCCUCAACAGUGAUCUCUCCUCCCACUUCGAGAGUUAAUUCAGUGCUGCUUUAGCUUUACGCCCCCAUGAAAACAGGAAAACGGUUUGCAGCUUUAUCAUAACCUUGCUUAUGUCUGUUGUUGUAUGUCUCAAAUACCCUGUCCUCAGGAAGGCCCACCAACGCUGGCCGGCCUCCAAGCACCCGGGCCUCUGCUCAUGUACAGCUCCUGAACUGCCCUGCCUCUGAGUUACUGUAAGUCCCCGCCCACUCGAGAGCACACGACCAGUCUCACCCCCAAUUUUAAAAUGGCAGCCCCCUUGCCUUUAUUUAUAGACAGGUGCUUUCCAAUCCUUAAGUGAUUUUUUAGUGAACAGGUCAUAAAGUUUCCUGUCAUGGCAUGAGGUGGAGGGGACAGCCCUCAGAGAGGGGUGUGGGGACCGUGGCUGGCGGUCACAUCACACCGGCCUCUCCCGCCUGCAGCCUUGCCCUUUGCAGAUGACUCAGGUGGGGAAAGCUCAGAAGGAAAGCCACCAAGUCCGGAUGCCCCACCCCACACGCAGAAUCUAGCUUCUCAGGGAAAGCAAGAAGGGGAUGCUUCAGGGGACUUUGCUGAGGCCAACCUUUGGCAUCUUUUUUGAAAAGACAUUUGUGUCCGUUUGCUCAUUUUUUUCAUGAUCAAGGAGGGUCCUCCCAGGCUGCCCUUGGCGGACCCCUUUCCUUGUACCCCGUCCACCUUGUCCUCUGGCUUCCAGCGGGUCCACUCCUCUUUCCUGCUUCCUAAACCUCGCCCAGAGCCUGCGACCCUCUCACCCUGGCCCAAACUCCCAGACACAGAUUUGCAGCAGCGCAGCCAAUGAUGUUUUCUUUAUGUGACUUCCUGGGACACUGCUUAGUGCCUCCUCCCAUGUCUUCCUUGGGCUGCAGCAUCUCUCAGGGCUCACAGAGGCCCCUCUAACUCCAAGGGGACUUCUUGGUCUGUUUCACAGGCCAGGAGACGGUGUUCGGAUACAUCCCCGCUGUAUGUUUCAUCCAUGGCAGUCUGGCCUUCCCAUGAAGAGCCUCUGUGUGAGCAAAUUGAAAAUAGGGCUUCUUGCCCCAACCUUCCAUGGAAAUGGCUAUGGUUUCAGUCUCCAUAAAGGUUACUUGCUCUUUUUCUGAAAAUCCAAAAGGACAGUGUUAACUCUUUGUACAAAUUGCACUGGCCAUUUGGUCUUAGCGCAAACUUUUUGGACCAUGUUUCAUUUUCGUUUUGAGGUGAAAGAAAAUAUCAAAGCCUCCUAGCAUUUUGAAACUCCUCAAAUAUCAAGUGCAAAACUGCUGAUGGGAUCAAAGAUGCCGGCUAAAUUCUUGGCCAAUAAGAUAAGACUCUUUCCUGUCAACUGACAAGCAAUACAUGAAUAUGUGCAGGGUAGCUGAUAAUCUAUGAAAUUAUCGGCUGGGUACAGUGGCUCACGCCUGUAAUCUCAGCACUUUGGGAGGCCAAGGUGGGUGGAUCACCUUAGGUCAGGAGUUCGAGACCAGCCUGGCCAACAUGCUGAAACCCUGUCUCUACUAGAAAUACAAAAAUUAGCCAGGCAUGGUGGCAGGCACCUGUAGUCCCAGAUACUUGGGGAGGCUGAGGCAGGAGAAUGGCUUGAACUCGGG
rnacentral:lncRNA from 1 species